rnacentral:rRNA from 1 species
CAGCCGCCACGGUAAUACGAAGGGGGCUAGCGUUGUUCGGAUUUACUGGGCGUAAAGCGCACGUAGGCGGACUUUUAAGUCAGGGGUGAAAUCCCGGGGCUCAACCCCGGAACUGCCUUUGAUACUGGGAGUCUUGAGUUCGAGAGAGGUGAGUGGAAUUGCGAGUGUAGAGGUGGAAUUCGUAGAUAUUCGCAGGAACACCAGUGGUGAAGGCGGCUCGCUGGCUCGAUACUGACGCUGAGGUGCGAAAGCGUGGGGAGCAAACAGGAUUAGAUACCCCGGUAGUCCCUGUCUCUUAUAC